UCUGGCCUCAAAUCAGGUAGGACUACCCGCUGAACUUAAGCAUAUCAAUAAGCGAAGGAAAUUAAAUGAUUCUGAGUAGGCUCGCCUCUCACCCUCAUAAUCAUAAACACCCUGCACAUUGGAACCUGGAGUCUUUCGGGACUCCCGGUGUUUUGACAAUUUAAUCAAACANCACNUANCACAGGUUAUUUCUAAUAUUAACCUUAUUAAACUUUAACAA
rnacentral:rRNA from 1 species